rnacentral:rRNA from 1 species
UACAGAGGUCCCGAGCGUUGUUCGGAUUCAUUGGGCGUAAAGGGUGCGUAGGCGGCUUCCUAAGUUUGAUGUGAAAUCCUGAGGCUCAACCCUGGAACUGCAUUGAAUACUGGGAGGCUAGAGUACUGGAGAGGAAACUGGAAUUUACGGUGUAGCAGUGAAAUGCGUAGAGAUCGUAAGGAAGACCAGUGGCGAAGGCGAGUUUCUGGACAGUUACUGACGCUGAGGCACGAAGGCCAGGGGAGCAAACGGG